AACGAACGCUGGCGGCAGGCCUAACACAUGCAAGUCGAGCGCCCCGCAAGGGGAGCGGCAGACGGGUGAGUAACGCGUGGGAAUCUACCCAUCUCUACGGAAUAACGCAUGGAAACGUGUGCUAAUACCGUAUACGUCCUUCGGGAGAAAGAUUUAUCGGAGAUGGAUGAGCCCGCGUUGGAUUAGCUAGUUGGUGGGGAAAAGGCCUACCAAGGCGACGAUCCAUAGCUGGUCUGAGAGGAUGAUCAGCCACACUGGGACUGAGACACGGCCCAGACUCCUACGGGAGGCAGCAGUGGGGAAUAUUGGACAAUGGGCGCAAGCCUGAUCCAGCCAUGCCGCGUGAGUGAUGAAGGCCCUAGGGUUGUAAAGCUCUUUCACCGGUGAAGAUAAUGACGGUAACCGGAGAAGAAGCCCCGGCUAACUUCGUGCCAGCAGCCGCGGUAAGAC
rnacentral:rRNA from 1 species